UCAUGUCAAACGUUAUAAACGGUAUGUAUUUAUUAAGCCAAAUCAAAAAUUCAUUGCCAGACAAAGUUCAAUCAAACGAAAAAGCAAAGAAAACAAAACAAGGAAUUGCAUAGUGGCAAUUAAAAAAACUUCAAUUAUAUAGACUCCUCUCCUUCAAAGAGAAAAAUAGUAAUAAAAUUCUCCUUCCUCCACAGGUGUAUUGGGUCUUCUCUUGGUGUCUGGCCUUCCUUCAGGGUCGUCUCUCCUAACUGGAGUCAGUGCUGGGGCGGCUGAGCAGUGCCCACGCUUUCCUCUUGUCUGUCCGUCCGUCUGGUUGUGGCCUAAGUUCGCAAAGCGAACACCAACAGCAGUAAGGGCUCCUUUCCGCCCCAAAGGUCUAGAAUCUUUACCCCCUGGCCCUAGGUUGAGCUCGACCUAACAGCUGAGGACAGCGCCUAUUUAUUCUAGCGCUGUGUUACUUAUAGAAAGGAAAUAUGUGUGUCCAGGUCCUGUCCGUCCGUCUAAGUUCACGUAUACGUCCCGCAAUAGUGUUUGUGAGGAAAAGGGUACCUGCAGCACUGUCGGCUGACCAGUGCUUUUGAUAUAGAGCUUCCCACGAUGGACAGAGGAGGUGGAGGUGUAGCUUUAUGUUUUCGCGUUUGGCUUUUUGUUAUUUUGUGAUCAACUUUAGUGGUGUCUAUUGUCUUUGAUUUUCAAG